UACGGAGGGGGCUAGCGUUGUUCGGAAUUACUGGGCGUAAAGCGUGCGCAGGCGGUCUGUUAAGACAGAUGUGAAAUCCCCGGGCUUAACCUGGGAACUGCAUUUGUGACUGGCAGGCUAGAGUAUGGCAGAGGGGGGUAGAAUUCCACGUGUAGCAGUGAAAUGCGUAGAGAUGUGGAGGAAUACCGAUGGCGAAAGGCAGCCCCCUGGGCCAAUACUGACGCUCAUGCACGAA
rnacentral:rRNA from 1 species